CUUUAAUUUUGCAUCCAAAAGGGAUAGGAAGUUUUAUAUUUAUUUUUCUUGAACUUUGAUACAAAUUGUUAUUGUUCCAGAUCUUUUUUCCGGAUCAUAUGGUACCUUUUCCAAGUGAGCCCCAUGCAGCUGUAAGCCACUCUGGGAUAUUACAGAUGUUCCUAAGCUCCAGCACAUCUCCUGAGAUUCACAGUUAUUUGCAUGCAAAGGAGCAGGGGGAAAAAUCCCGGACAGAACUGUACUUUCUUUUGAGAAGAUCUGGCCUUUAUUUUUCCACUAAAGGUACAUCUGAGGAGCCAAGGCAUCUGCAGUUUUUCUGUGAAUUCAGCC